UACAGAGGGGGCAAGCGUUGUUCGGAAUUACUGGGCGUAAAGGGCGCGUAGGUGGCGGGACAAGCGUGCGGUGAAAGCCUGGGGCUCAACCCCGGGUCGGCCGUGCGAACUGUUUUGCUUGAGCACUGUAGAGGCAGGCGGAAUUCCGGGUGUAGCGGUGGAAUGCGUAGAGAUCCGGAAGAACACCGGUGGCGAAGGCGGCCUGCUGGGCAGUAGCUGACACUGAGGCGCGACAGCGUGGGGAGCAAACAGG
rnacentral:rRNA from 1 species